UGGAGAAUCACUUUACAUGGAGAAAAAGAGGCAACGAGGUGGAUAGAAGAGACCGGGGACGAGAAGGAUGACUAAUCCUUCACGGUCAUGGUCCACUAGAUGUGACAGGAAGACCACCUGUGGCCAGGCAGAAUGUGACCUAAAUGGGGCUUAUGGCAGCUCACAGAUGGGCCUGCCAGAUAACGUUGGAAAGACAAUAACUGCUGAGGACGAGUCGACAUACUGUGGCCGACCUGGCAAAGGAGAACCGUCUAUUUGUAAUGGGGGGAAAACAAAGAUGAUAUAAGAUUUAUUGAACCAACACAGCAGAGCAAAUGAACAGAGCUCAGUGAAGGAUAAAAUAACACAGUGGAGAGGAGGCGUCCACAAUCGAUCGAUCCGGAGCAGCGAGCCUGCCAGCUACUGCUACCUUCCUCUUUCCAGGAAGACUCUGCACAUACAGGAUAGACCUUAAGGCAUCUCAUUGUAUCAUGUUUGUUUGUGUGUGUUUGUGCGUGUGUGUUGUACACAUCUUAAAGAAUGUGUGCAUAGUCUAUGAUCUCAGAAGUCAGGGAGAGUCGGUGUGUCUUUCACACUUAUGUACUGUACUGUAAGUAAG